rnacentral:ncRNA from 1 species
CUGUAAAGAUAUGUUGACCCGUAGGGGCGGUACUUUUGGGUGAAAAUUCGGAGUAAUCAAAAGGCAUGUCGAGGAA